rnacentral:rRNA from 1 species
GUGGGGAAUCUUAGACAAUGGGCGCAAGCCUGAUCUAGCCAUGCCGCGUGAGCGAUGAAGGCCUUAGGGUUGUAAAGCUCUUUCGUGGGGGAAGAUAAUGACUGUACCCCAAGAAGAAGCCCCGGCUAACUUCGUGCCAGCAGCCGCGGUAAUACGAAGGGGGCUAGCGUUGUUCGGAAUUACUGGGCGUAAAGCGCACGUAGGCGGAUAUUUAAGUCAGGGGUGAAAUCCCAGAGCUCAACUCUGGAACUGCCUUUGAUACUGGGUAUCUCGAGUAUGGAAGAGGUGAGUGGAAUUCCGAGUGUAGAGGUGAAAUUCGUAGAUAUUCGGAGGAACACCAGUGGCGAAGGCGGCUCACUGGUCCAUUACUGACGCUGAGGUGCGAAAGCGUGGGGAGCAAACAGGAUUAGAUACCCGUGUAGUCC